GACGACCGGCGGACGGGUGAGUAACGCGUGAGGAACCUGCCUUACAGAGGGGGACAACAGUUGGAAACGACUGCUAAUACCGCAUGAUGUGGAGGGGAGACAUCUCCCUUUCACCAAAGGAGCAAUCCGCUGUAAGAUGGCCUCGCGUCUGAUUAGAUAGUUGGUGGGGUAACGGCCUACCAAGUCGACGAUCAGUAGCCGGACUGAGAGGUUGAACGGCCACAUUGGGACUGAGACACGGCCCAGACUCC
rnacentral:rRNA from 1 species